CCAGACAGAAGCGUUAGACUGAAAGCAUGGGAAGGCUUACCUUCUGGCAGUGAUGACAAGCCACCAGUUGAAGUAAAGAAUAUUUUAUCACCAGUUUUCAUCCAGGCGGCGGAGGCCAUUAAGGCUUGGAUUUGUUAUCCAUCAGUCUCUGUUCUUAGAGGGGAAAUAAUGACACCAAACUCACAGUAUGAUUGCAGAAUAAAAUUAAGGGCUGGUAUGUUAUUUCGGAUAAAGCUUAUAUUAACUAACACCCAAUUUAAAUUGAGAAUUAUAUGAAUACACUUACUUAUAAUUACCACUGGACAGUUUAAAAUGUAGUAAGGCGCGUUUCAAACGUCGAACUUCUCAUCUGCCGAAUCUUACGUAAGUACUAGAAAAUACAUGCAUGCAGAAACCCUCGCCUUGCUGACAAACAGACAAAACCAUUGUAUUUUCCGAAC
rnacentral:lncRNA from 1 species